rnacentral:rRNA from 1 species
AUGUCUGCUAUCAUGUUGAAAGGUCUUGCAGAUGUAGCAGCAAAAGGUGUUAGGACUGACAAAGGAUUCAAGGAGGCCGAUAAAAUGAAAGUUGCAAAGGCUUUGACCGCUUUUGUUGGUUAUGAUGUGAGUAACACCCAGGUGCACAAUCAUCUUCGCAAGUGGCGGACUAGGUGGCAAAGAAUUGUUCAUCUCCGUGGAUUAAGUGGUGCACUUUGGGACGAUGACAAGAAAAUGAUAGUGCUAGAAGAGCAACACUAUUUAGGCCACACUAGGACCAUCCAACGGAUGCUGAAUUACUGA